UAUAAUAAGAAUAUUCUAUUUUCUAGAAUUGGAUCGAACAAGUUAGAUCAAAGAAUCUUUAUUGUAAUCAUUACAUGUUAUGGUAUAAUCUGGGGUUUAAUUGGACCAAGCACCAAGCACCAAGCACAUGUGGUGUUAAGUCUUUGGAUAUAUAGCUUCCUAAUAACUCAAUCCUCUAUCAGCCAGCACCAUUCUAACUCUCUUCAUAUCUCAUCUAACUGCAUUUUCAUAUCUUAUCUAACUGCAUUUUCAUAUCCUCAUAAAAAGUACACGGUUAUGUUCAUUACUAUUUGUCUGGCUCUGACUCAAAAAGCUUGUUUGCAGCAAUCUUCCAUAUAA